AAAAAUUGCCGCAGGCUAAAAUCGAUGUUCUUGUGGAAGCUUCCUAAGAGCAAACAGCAAUACUGAAAGGGAUGUAGAAACAGCAAGGACAAAUGCAGAAGGUGGCCUGCAAGUUUCCCAUUCAGAUCGUGAGUGAUCUAAAUGAAUUAAACAUGGAAAUAAACGCCACAAACCGAGACCUCUUUUUAUUUCGAUGCAGUAAAUAACUUUACCAUCAAUGGCGGAAUUUUAAAAUACCUUAAAAAUAUUGUGGCCAGAGCUGUGAUAAUACCGUUGGCGAAUUAACCCUAUUUGCGGACAUUUCAUACAAAAACGGAAAUGAUAAGACGCAUUGUUUAUCUCUAAGCUGCUUUCAUAUUACCCUUAUUUACACUGAAGAGCAAACUGGAACAAUAAUUCCUUAAAUAAACUUUGCACUGCAUUGUAUA